CAGGCCUAACACAUGCAAGUCGAGCGGAUGACGGGAGCUUGCUCCUUGAUUCAGCGGCGGACGGGUGAGUAAUGCCUAGGAAUCUGCCUGGUAGUGGGGGACAACGUUUCGAAAGGAACGCUAAUACCGCAUACGUCCUACGGGAGAAAGCAGGGGACCUUCGGGCCUUGCGCUAUCAGAUGAGCCUAGGUCGGAUUAGCUAGUUGGUGAGGUAAUGGCUCACCAAGGCGACGAUCCGUAACUGGUCUGAGAGGAUGAUCAGUCACACUGGAACUGAGACACGGUCCAGACUCCUACGGGAGGCAGCAGUGGGGAAUAUUGGACAAUGGGCGAAAGCCUGAUCCAGCCAUGCCGCGUGUGUGAAGAAGGUCUUCGGAUUGUAAAGCACUUUAAGUUGGGAGGAAGGGCAGUAAGCUAAUACCUUGCUGUUUUGACGUUACCGACAGAAUAAGCACCGGCUAACUAUGUGCCAGCAGCCGCGGUAAU
rnacentral:rRNA from 1 species